UACGUAGGGACCGAGCGUUGUCCGGAAUCAUUGGGCGUAAAGCGCGUGUAGGCGGCUUGGUAAGUCUGGUGUGAAACCUCGGGGCUCAACCCCGAGCCUGCACUGGAUACUGCCUCGCUCGAGUCCGGGAGGGGAGAGCGGAAUUCCUAGUGUAGCGGUGAAAUGCGCAGAUAUUAGGAAGAACACCGGUGGCGAAGGCGGCUCUCUGGAACGGUACUGACGCUGAGACGCGAAAGCGUGGGGAGCAAACAGG
rnacentral:rRNA from 1 species